rnacentral:rRNA from 1 species
UCGAUGGGAAACAGGUUAAUAUUCCUGUACUUGGUGUUACUGCGAAGGGGGGACGGAGAAGGCUAUGUUAGCCGGGCGACGGUUGUCCCGGUUUAAGCAUGUAGGCUGAUUAUCCAGGCAAAUCCGGAUAAUCAAGGCUGAGGUGUGAUGACGAGGCACUACGGUGCUGAAGUAACAAAUGCCCUGCUUCCAGGAAAAGCCUCUAAGCAUCAGGUAACAUCAA